rnacentral:rRNA from 1 species
GACGAAUGCUGGCGGCGUGCUUAACACAUGCAAGUCGAACGGAAAGGCCCUGCUUUUGUGGGGUGCUCGAGUGGCGAACGGGUGAGUAACACGUGAGUAACCUGCCCUUGACUUUGGGAUAACUUCAGGAAACUGGGGCUAAUACCGGAUAGGAGCUCCUGCUGCAUGGUGGGGGUUGGAAAGUUUCGGCGGUUGGGGAUGGACUCGCGGCUUAUCAGCUUGUUGGUGGGGUAGUGGCUUACCAAGGCUUUGACGGGUAGCCGGCCUGAGAGGGUGACCGGCCACAUUGGGACUGAGAUACGGCCCAGACUCCUACGGGAGGCAGCAGUGGGGAAUAUUGCACAAUGGGCGGAAGCCUGAUGCAGCAACGCCGCGUGCGGGAUGACGGCCUUCGGGUUGUAAACCGCUUUCGCCUGUGACGAAGCGUGAGUGACGGUAAUGGGUAAAGAAGCACCGGCUAACUACG